AAAGACUUAAUUUCUGGGUUUCCGUGUUCAACGUUUGACUCCGUCUUAUAUGAAAUUUUUUUUUAUGAUUAGUAUUUUCAUUGCUGUUAGAUGAUAAAACAUGAAUAAUACUUUAUGUGUGACUUAACUUUUUAAUUUUUUUCAUAAUUUUUUUAAAUAAGAUGGAUGGUCAAACGUUGGACACGAAAACCCAGGAAUUGAGUUAUU
rfam:Oryza glumipatula chromosome 11, whole genome shotgun sequence.